GUUAAGUUAGUUUAUAAAAAUACCAGCUUGUGGAUCUGGAGAUGAGAAGCAUUCUCACUUAACC
rnacentral:tRNA from 1 species